rnacentral:rRNA from 1 species
UUUAAUGGAGAGUUUGAUCCUGGCUCAGGACGAACGCUGGCGGCGUGCCUAAUACAUGCAAGUCGAGCGGG